rnacentral:rRNA from 1 species
UACGAAGGGGGCUAGCGUUGCUCGGAAUUACUGGGCGUAAAGGGCGCGUAGGCGGAUGUUUAAGUCAGAGGUGAAAGCCCAGGGCUCAACCUUGGAACUGCCUUUGAUACUGGGCAUCUUGAGUAUGGGAGAGGUGAGUGGAACUCCGAGUGUAGAGGUGAAAAUUCGUAGAUAUUCGGAAGAACACCAGUGGCGAAGGCGACUCACUGGCCCAUUACUGACGCUGAGGCGCGAAAGCGUGGGGAGCAAACAGGG